UGUCUUGUAAUUGGAAUGAUGGGAAUUUAAACCUCUUCCAGAGUAUCAAUUGGAGGGCAAGUCUGGUGCCAGCAGCCGCGGUAAUUCCAGCUCCAAUAGCGUAUAUUAAAAUUGUUGCAGUUAAAAAGCUCGUAGUUGAAUUUCUGCUGCAUUGCUUUUGCUCCUUUACGAGUCUUUGCAUUGUGGCUUAUUUCGGACUUUGUUUUACAAUGUCCGGAUGUUUACUUUGAGAAAAUUAGAGUGCUCAAAGCAGGCUUUCGCCUUGAAUAGUUUAGCAUGGAAUAAUAAAGUAGGACUUUGGUUCUAUUUUGUUGGUUUUAGGUACCAAAGUAAUGGUUAAUAGGAACAGUUGGGGGCAUUCGUAUUUAACUGUCAGAGGUGAAAUUCUUAGAUUUGUUAAAGACGAACUACUGCGAAAGCAUUUGCCAAGGAUGUUUUCAUUAAUCAAGAACGAAAGUUAGGGGAUCGAAGACGAUCAGAUACCGUCGUAGUCCUAACCAUAAACU
rnacentral:rRNA from 1 species